rnacentral:rRNA from 1 species
GACGAACGCUGGCGGCGUGCUUAACACAUGCAAGUCGAACGGAAAGGCCCUUCGGGGUACUCGAGUGGCGAACGGGUGAGUAACACGUGGGUGAUCUGCCCUGCACUUUGGGAUAAGCCUGGGAAACUGGGUCUAAUACCGAAUAGGACCACGCGCUUCAUGGUGUGUGGUGGAAAGCUUUUGCGGUGUGGGAUGGGCCCGCGGCCUAUCAGCUUGUUGGUGGGGUAAUGGCCUACCAAGGCGACGACGGGUAGCCGGCCUGAGAGGGUGACCGGCCACACUGGGACUGAGAUACGGCCCAGACUCCUACGGGAGGCUGCAGUGGGGAAUAUUGCACAAUGGGCGCAAGCCUGAUGCAGCGACGCCGCGUGAGGGAUGACGGCCUUCGGGUUGUAAACCUCUUUCAAUAGGGACGAAGCGCAAGUGACGGCACCUAUAGAAGAAGCACCGGCCAACUACGUG